rnacentral:rRNA from 1 species
GACGAACGCUGGCGGCGUGCUUAACACAUGCAAGUCGAACGGAAAGGCCCUGCUUUUGUGGUGUGCUCGAGUGGCGAACGGGUGAGUAACACGUGAGUAACCUGCCCUUGACUUUGGUAUAACUUCAGGAAACUGGGGCUAAUACCGGAUAGGAGCUCCUGCUGCAUGGUGGGGGUUGGAAAGUUUCGGCGGUUGGGGAUGGACUCGCGGCUUAUCAGCUUGUUGGUGGGGUAGUGGCUUACCAAGGCUUUGACGGGUAGCCGGCCUGAGAGGGUGACCGGCCACAUUGGGACUGAGAUACGGCCCAGACUCCUACGGGAGGCAGCAGUGGGGAAUAUUGCACAAUGGGCGGAAGCCUGAUGCAGCAACGCCGCGUGCGGGAUGACGGCCUUCGGGUUGUAAACCGCUUUCGCCUGUGACGAAGCGUGAGUGACGGUAAUGGGUAAAGAAGCACCGGCUAACUACGUG